rnacentral:rRNA from 1 species
AUGGCGUGUACCCGAAGCAGAGGCCAUGGAAGUCAAAGCGAGCUGCCUGAAACUCUCCAGCCUGAACUCCUCGGCGUCUUACCAGUACUAGGGGUCACACAUGAUGGCCCAGGACUUUAUAAUCACACUCGUCUUGGUUGGCAUCACAUACCUGUUGAUCUCGCAGGCCUCGGUGCUCCCUCGAGGGAUCAAGAUGGUAGUUGCUGGGUACAGCUUGAACGUCUCCUUGAUCACCAAGCCGAGGUACUUGAUGCAACUUCCGCUCGUCCGGAGAUCGAUCUCGCGGAACGCCGCCCUGAUCUUGUCUUGCAUCUUCCUCAUUACCUUUGGCUUCAUCAUCAGCUCUGA